UAUGGUGGAAAACGCCAAAGUAAGAACAAAAAAUAAAAAAAAUAAAAUAAAAAAGAGAGAAAAAUAAAACCUUUUCAUCUCUCUCACCUCACCUCACCUCACCUCACCUCACCUCCAUCUAUCUCUUCUACCUCUAGUCUCUGCCUCUCAUAUAUCUAUUCUGCUAUUUGUCGCCUUCUUUCGGAGAAAGAGGAGUGGACGGAGAGGGGGGGAGAAGUGAAGGGAGUGAGAGCGUUUUUCGCCGGCGGCCACCGUUGCUUCGUUUUCCAGAGAUUCCUUUCGGAUGUUUCUUUCAAAGGUCGCUUCCUUUCCACGGCAAAUUCAUUUUUGAUACGGAGUUGUAUUCUGAACUUGGCUUCUUUACUCUCUAAUUGUUCCUUUUGUCCCAACUCUGGCGGACCUAAAAGAAGCCUUAUCGUUCUUCCUGUCCUCUCUCUCUGUAAUCUUAGCGGAUCGUUUUUAUUUCAAAUCUAAGAAGAAGAGGAGAGGCUCCAGGGGGAUUAACGGUAUUAAGAUGCUUUGGGUUAUGCAAUUCUCUGGGUUCUUUUCAGCGGCAAUGUUGAUGAUUGUUCUAUCUCCUUCAUUUCAGUCAUUUCCACCAGCUGAAGCCAUUAGGUCCUCUCAUCUCCACGCCUACCUCCGGUUACCCUCAUAUCAGGUGUCCUCGUCAACGUACUCACCGCUUGACCGGUUCUCUUUUCGAAAAGCCUCGGAAUUUGGCAAUGCCGACAAAUGUCGCUCCACCGACCAUAAAAUCACCGGCGUUUGCGAUCCUUCUUUGGUCCACGUGGCCAUCACUCUUGACGUUGAGUACCUCCGUGGCUCAAUCGCCGCCGUUCACUCCAUUCUCCAGCAUUCGUUGUGUCCGGAGAACGUUUUCUUCCAUUUCCUCGUCUCUGAUACUGAUUUAGAAACCCUGGUUCGGUCCACGUUCCCUCAAUUGAAGUUCAAGGCUUACUAUUUCGACCCCGCGAUUGUACGGAACUUGAUAUCGUCUUCCGUUAGGCAAGCGCUUGAACAGCCGUUAAAUUAUGCUAGAAAUUACUUAGCGGAUCUGCUAGAGCCGUGCGUGCGGAGGGUGAUUUAUUUGGACUCUGAUCUAGUUGUUGUUGACGAUAUCGCUAAACUAUGGAGUACCAACCUAGGUUCACGGACAAUCGGCGCACCGGAAUAUUGCCACGCCAACUUCACAAAAUAUUUCACGAGCGGUUUCUGGUCGGCCGAACGGUUUUCAGGGACAUUCAAAGGGAGGAAGCCGUGCUAUUUCAAUACGGGGGUGAUGGUGAUAGAUCUGGUGAAAUGGAGGAGGGUGGGAUACACGAAGCGGAUCGAAAGGUGGAUGGAAAUCCAAAAAACCGAUCGGAUCUACGAGCUGGGUUCGUUGCCGCCGUUCCUGUUGGUUUUUGCGGGACGCGUGGCACCCAUCGAGCAUAGAUGGAACCAGCAUGGGUUGGGUGGGGACAACGUGAGGGGAAGUUGCCGAGGCUUGCAUCCGGGUCCCGUCAGCCUCUUGCAUUGGUCCGGUAGUGGCAAGCCAUGGGAUAGGCUUGAUUCCAGACGGCCAUGCCCACUCGACGCAUUAUGGGCACCUUACGACUUGUACCGACACUCACAUUGAAACCAUAGCCAGGGAUUGUCGCCGGUACAAUGGAAAGGAUCAAAGAAUCAAGGUGGUGUUAAGACAGUGGUAGGCCAUUUUGGUUAAAAUAUGUGGUGAACUGUUUUAGGUGGGACUGGUGGAAUGCAUUGGAGAUGGGGGGGAUAAGUAAGGCCAUGUGAUUGUUCUAAAUUGCUACUUGGUUUGAUUGGUACCCAAAUGCCAAAAGUGACCGAAUAGAGAGGGGGGAGGGGUGUGUGUUUUGCGGUGACAUCUCCACAACUAAUUUUAGGCAUUGGAAGUAUCUUUCAUGGGGGUGUAAAAUUUCUUUUUGGUUUCAUCGGUGCAAUACUUGUUUAGCUCAGCGACUUCCCACACACUGUUUCUUUGUGUAGCUAAAGUGGAAUUUUUUUUUGUUUAUUUUUCUUUUUUAAUAUUCCAAAUAAAGUAAUAUAUGUACAUGCGUUAUUUAUACAUACAAACAUACUUGGUUGUUUAAAUUA